UACGAGGGGGGCAAGCGUUGUUCGGAAUUAUUGGGCGUAAAGAGCUCGUAGGCGGUUUGUCGCGUCUGCCGUGAAAGUCCGGGGCUCAACUCCGGAUCUGCGGUGGGUACGGGCAGACUAGAGUGAUGUAGGGGAGACUGGAAUUCCUGGUGUAGCGGUGAAAUGCGCAGAUAUCAGGAGGAACACCGAUGGCGAAGGCAGGUCUCUGGGCAUUAACUGACGCUGAGGAGCGAAAGCAUGGGGAGCGAACAGG
rnacentral:rRNA from 1 species